GUGAUUGACACACAGCCCACUUCAGUGUUUAUCAGUAACCAUGUUUUGCUUCAGAGUUAAUUCUCAACCACUGUCGCUUAGGGAUGUAUUUGCAAAAAGGCAAUGUGAUACAACAGACAAAGGACUGUAAAAUAAACCAACAAAGUUAACACAACAGGAAGUCAUAUAGUUGCCAUGGAGAACAAAUGCACCUGAGCCCACAACACACAAGUUUUAAGGUGACGACCAGGAUUUUGACACUUCAUACUCCUGUGGACAACCAUCAGCUGAACGACACGCUGCACACUCUCAAAUUUUGAAAAAUCAUGGGCUGCAACACAAGUAGGGGGGCCACAGUGGUUGACCCUUCUGAAAAGCCAGAGGACAGGCCGAAAACUGCCACUUCCACCAAGCAGGCGCCUGCAGAGGAAACGAAUGGAACAAAAGAAAAAGAUGAAAAAACGAAGAGUUCCAGCUGAGCGCCACCUUUACACCGAACCUAACUCUUCUUCUUUUCUAUCAAUCAACAAGGAUACAGCACCUCUCUGUAAAAUUGGCCUGUCCGAGGGUGAAGGAGGACCUGUAAGCAGGAUGAGGCGACGCUGCACUACUGUCCAUCAACGUCUGUCAUCUGGGCCAGGCACACAUAAUCAAAUACGCACACUUCUCUAGAAAUCCGACUCCUAUUGUCAAAGUCUAGAAACUAUUUUGUGAUAAAUAUAUCGU